CCUACGGGAGGCAGCAGUGGGGAAUUUUGGACAAUGGGCGCAAGCCUGAUCCAGCAAUGCCGCGUGCAGGAUGAAGGCCUUCGGGUUGUAAACUGCUUUUGUACGGAACGAAACGGCGAGCUCUAAUAAAGUUCGCUAAUGACGGUACCGUAAGAAUAAGCACCGGCUAACUACGUGCCAGCAGCCGCGGUAAUACGUAGGGUGCAAGCGUUAAUCGGAAUUACUGGGCGUAAAGCGUGCGCAGGCGGUGAUGUAAGACAGAUGUGAAAUCCCCGGGCUCAACCUGGGACCUGCAUUUGUGACUGCAUCGCUAGAGUACGGUAGAGGGGGGAUGGAAUUCCGCGUGUAGCAGUGAAAUGCGUAGAUAUGCGGAGGAACACCGAUGGCGAAGGCAAUCCCCUGGACCUGUACUGACGCUCAUGCACGAAAGCGUGGGGAGCAAACAGGAUUAGAUACCCUGGUAGUCCACGCCCUAAACGAUGUCAACUGGUUGUUGGGUCUUCACUGACUCAGUAACGAAGACACGCGUGAGUAGCCGCCGNGGGAGGUACGGCCGGCGAGGUUAGUAACGUACGAAAGAAAGUUAGACGGACGUGAGACGUACGACCGACGGACGACCGACGACGGGGAGGGUUAGGGAG
rnacentral:rRNA from 1 species